UGUGUCAACAAGAUCGAAGGGAGCACGUAAGAGAGAAUCCGAACAUUUUAGUGGUUUUAUUUCAAUGAAUUUAAGAAUACGGAUUGAAUUUAAUGUUUUGAGGUAUGCGAGAAGAAAUCGCCGCGGCAGUCGUGUUUGUGACACGGCUUAUUCGACAAAAUGGUAGCCUUUCGGAGGGCAAGGUAGACGACUUUUCAAGUUGUUUAUCCGCCAUUUUGGUAGAAAAAUUUAAGAAUCAUUGGUACAGAGAUAGGCCGGCUAAGGGACAAGGAUUCAGAUGUAUCCGUAUAAAUCCAUCGGAACCGAUUGACCCGGUCCUUGAAAAAGCUGCGAGUGACGCCGGAUUAGAAUGUGCGGAGUUGCUUUUACCUGUAGAAAUGACACUAUGGGUCGACCCCGAGGACGUUUGCUGCAGGUUUGGCGAGAUGCACGGAUCAUCAGUUUCUAUGUACACACUUGCAACCACCAAGGAUGGAAACCUGGAGAACCGGGCCCACGUCAUCAACAUCGAUGAAAUCAUGGAGAAGGAGCGAGAACGACAUAACCAGAUGGUAAACAUUGUGACAACUCGCAGUACCUCUCAGUGCCGUCCUCAGCAGUUCUCUCGGGGACUUUACUACGGUAAGACAGCAAACUUCUACAGCAAGCACCAGCACAACUUCUACAACAACCAGGCCUUCAGCUCAACGAACCGUCAGCGACGUACAUCAGAGGAGGAGUCACAGGUGAACGGGAAACGGGUCUCUCCUGAUCAUGUCACUGAAGUGCGGCAGCAGUUCAUGGACCAGGUAAACAAUGCUGCAGGGAAGUCCGCCUCGUCUUCACCAGCAAAACAACCACCCACCAAGUCAACGGAAAGCUGUGUCAAUCAAACUAAGGAAAACCAGAACAGUAAUAAGACUGUGAAAGCAGGUGAGAAUUUGAAUAAGGCAACCAAGGUGCCAUGUGGAGCUACCACAACUGAGGACAAGAAAAAGGUUAGUUGUCAGUCAGCUACCAAGUCAAAAUCCUCGGCAGAAAUUACGUCAUCUUCCACCACUCCAUCAGCAUCAUCUUCUAGCUCAUCAACAUCGACGUCAUCAUCGACGUCUGUGCCAUUAUUGGCGGCGCCAGGUAGCUACAAUCAGGGACAGAAACGUGGUACUGACAACAAGGCAAGGAGUAACGGGGCGUAUCCUGGCAACACAGCCUCAUCAACAGGCUCCACCAAUGCCCACAACAAAGGCAGCUAUCAUGGCAACGGAAAUUACCAGAAAUCGUACCAUAGCAAGGGAGAUAACUACCACUGGAAUAAAGGCAGCACAGGCAGCACCAAUGGGAAUGGCGGGGCAAAGCAUGCUCCAAAGUUCCACUGAUAAAGUAUUUCGUGAAUGUGUAAUAUUAUUGAUCUAUUUAUAGAAUUGGAUUGUAUGAUGUGAUAGAAUUCAUGUUUCUUAUUGUUUCCAGUUAAAUUUUACUUAAAAUAGAUUUCUUUGAUGUUUUAGCAUUUAUGUUAUGAAAAGACUGGCAGAAUUAGAUUCACAUUUGGUCCUUUUUCUAAAUGUAACCUUGGAGUUGUAACCAUUGGCGUAAUAUUACUAUUGCUGUUCUUGCAAUAAUCAGAACAAUUUUCCUUUUUGUCAAAUAUUUGAAUUAGUUCAUAACUUUUGCUUUUGACAUUCUGUGUUAUUUGAAGAAGAUUUUCCCUAAAGUUUUCAUAUAAAGACAUGAAAUGUUUUAAGGAUAUUUUUUCAUCAAUUCUUUUAGUCAGACUCUUUGAAUUAAUUGUUUAUUUGUAAGUUGCUGAUUGUUGUAAUGAAAUGAUAUUCUGUUUUAAAGGAAUGAGUGCCACUUUACAUGUAAUUACUUAUCACAAGUAUGAAAAUGAUGUUUAAUGGUUUGAUCAUAAUGUUAUACAGUAAAACCUUGUUAAUCUGGGCUCUGGUAAUCGGGACACCUGCUGUUUUCAUUGGUAGGAUACUAUUGGUUUGUCCAAAAAUACUCGUGCCGGAACCAGAAGAGUUUUAUAGGUAAAUUCUUUAUAAAAUAUAACUGGAAAUCAUGUCUAGAUGUCAAAUGUACAAAGUGUUGGUUUAAAUUUUCAGACAUGUACACUGCCCAAUGGGGCUAUAACUAUAACAAGUUAUUAUAAUCAAUUUUUUAACAAGCGCCCUAUUAAGGGCAGUUUUUUCAAAAGUAUGAAAUCAAUUAAGUCUAGAAAUACCAAAGUCAGGUUUUGCUCAUCAAAACCUUUGUAAAACUGACCAUUUGCUCAGUUAAGGAGGUUUUUCUGAGAGUCCGUGGCAGUGGGUGCAGUUUGGUGCUGUGUAAGUAUUGGGGAAUAACGUUUAGUGAGUUAUGUAGGAAGGUAACCAGCUUAUUUUUCAAUAUUGUAGAAUUAUCGCAUUUGUUUUUAAUUAAGUAUGAGGUACAAAUUUGUUUUUGGCAGCAUAUUUUUCCUGAUCACAAGAUUUUGAAUCAAAGUAAUUUCAUCGACAUUUGGUACAUAUCAUUCCCAUAUAUAAUAUGCCAGUAAUGGUUUAUGUGUUAGCUGAGGUCAAAGGUUGCUCAGUAAUAGCACACUACAAGUGUUCAUCUUCGUCUCACAAUCUCUGUUUGUGAUUAUUGUGUGUGCUACCAAGUAGAUUAAUUCUGACACCCUGUACAUGUGUGUAGACGUUUAUUGCUGAUUUACCAGUUUAGUGAGAAAAUGUACUCGAAAUCUCAAAGUUCAAUAGAGUCAUCAUAAAAUGGUACAAAUUUGGCAAUUUAUCAUUUAUAUUAGAUUAUUAAAAAAAAAAUAUGUUAAGCUUUUAUUUAAAGUUUGUGACUCGUAUAUUUUAUUUCUCUGUUUUCAUUUGAAAAAGCAAUUGUGUGAUGAUGUUUUUUUGACAAAAUUUGUAUAAUGAUUUUAUGUUAACGAUGCAGGAAACUUGAAGAAUAUAUCUGACACACUUGGUUGAACUUAGAGAAUAUAUCUGACACACUUGAUUGAACUUUGAGAAUAUAUCUGACACACUUGGUUGAACUUUUUAGACAACCUGUUUCUCAUGAUUUUUGAUUUUCCAUAAGAUAAAGAUCUGUGUUGUCUGAGGUUUCCCGGUUUAGAGCACUGGAGGUAAAGAUCUGUGUUGUCUGAGGUUUCCCGGUUUAGAGCACUGGAGAUAAAGAUCUGUGUUGUCUGAGGUUUCCCGGUUUAGAGCACUGGAGAUAAAGAUCUGUGUUGUCUGAGGUUUCCCGGUUUAGAGCACUGGAGAUAAAGAUCUGUGUUGUCUGAGGUUUCCCGGUUUAGAGCACUGGAGGUAAAGAUCUGUGUUGUCUGAGGUUUCCCGGUUUAGUAGUGAUAGAGUAUAUAUAUACAUUAUUGUAUCUAUUUAGUUGGUACAGUCCUACAACACAGGGAGGCUACCAGUGUAAGACCAAUAUAUUAACAACUGCAUUUUAUAGGAUCAUUUCCAAAAACAACAACAAAAAAACAGUGUAAACAACAUAUUUUUUUAGUGUGCUGGUCUAUUUUUUUAUGUGAAUCCCAUUAACGCCUUUCAUAUAAAAUAAAAGGCUUGCAGUAAUUUGCAGUUCUUUGCUCGCUUAAAUAAUACUUGAAGUGUAAAACAAAUUAAAUAUGAUAACAGACUUUUAUCUGAAAAUUGCAUUUCCACUUAGAUUUGAAGACCAACAGAAUUGACCGUACCAAUGAUACAGUGGUUGAUCAUUUAUAACUUAAUCAUGGCUGAGAAGUAAACUAAUUGUAUCCACCAAAUACAGGCUGGAUGGAGUUGGGGCUCUAGAAAUAUUGUACAUUUCUAAACCGACGAUAAUACAUGCUUCAGUGUUAAUAAUGUAAUGGGUCAAUCUGGCCACCUCUGUUUGACCACUGGAUGUUGUGUUCAUUAACAUGGGACACUCCUCUUGGUAUACUAAUGGGGGGGGGGACAAACCGUUGUAUGUCCUUUGAACUUUAACCUUUGACCUAACAACUUGAUUUAAUCUUUGGCCAUAUAACUUUAAAUUUGAUGUGCAUGUUUCUUUUUUUAAUAAAUUUGAUCACUAAUAAUGAAAUGAUAUUGCAUUUUAAAACCAUAAUGUGAACUUGACAAGUUGUUAGUUUGUGAUAAGCCAUGGCAGUUUUUGAUACCUUUGCAUUGUCUAACCUCAUAUUCUCAAUUUUAGUGUUAACCAGUAGAAACAGUUAGAGUGACCACCUGUCAAGUAUAGACCACACCCACACAACUUCUCAUAAUACAUGUAAAAAAUAAAGAUCAAAGUGAUAUUUUCUUUUACUGAAAAAAAUUGAUUGUGAUAUUCAAGGAAUUAUUUUACCUCAGUGAUUCAGGGUUUUGAACCAACAGUAAUGUGUUGAUAUUUUAUAAUUUGAGGUUUGCUGUAAAGGGCUGUUGAUGUAUGUUAUUGAACCAGUAGUGAUGUGUUGAUAUUUCAUAACUUGAGGUUUGGUAUAAAGGGCUGUAGAUGUAUGUUAUUGAACCAGUAGAUUGAAUGUGAUAUAUUUGUGUUAUUUUGAUUUAUUGUAUUGAGUUGUAUCGAUCUAGCAUUACUAUUGUGAUAGAUGCAUGGUUUUUGUGAAUUGUAAUUUAUAUAUGUAAUUUGUUUGAUUACCAUUUUAUAAGCAAUUCUAAUUAGAUUCUGUUAAUUCAAUGUUAUGUUUCCUAGGUAUAAAAUAGUGAUGGACUUGGAAGUGUUCAGAUUGGAGGACUGAUAAUGUGCUACUGUAUUUGCAUUUUUCAUAAUGUUAAAGAAACAAUAAUUUGUAGUUCAUGAUAUAUAUUUGUUUCAUAUCCUGAAAAAUGAUUAAAUUCCAAUGUGAUUCGUUGAUGAAAACAUAUUAUUGUUAGUCACAUGAAGGAGAUCUGAACAAAACGUUGCUGGAAAGGUUGUGUACUGACAAGUUUAGAAAAUUGGAGGGUGGUUUAAAAUAGUCCAGAUUCCUAGUUAUAAGGUAAUGGUGUAGACACAAUUGAUCACUUUAUCUUUUGUUCGACAGUGCUACUAUUGCCAGUAUAUUGCUGUGUUCAGAUUUGUCAAUGUUGUGAUUGUUAUGCAUGCAUUUAAAACAUCUAAGAGGCCCAACUUAGGUGGCCAGCCAUUUAUAUCUCGACUGCCAUCAUUAUUAUCACUCAAAGUGCUAUCCAUUUAUCCUAUUAUAUAUUUGAGAAAUUUAAUCUUAUCAAAAUAUUUGCAUUCCCUACCCCAUCUGAAGAUAUAAAUAUACCAUUGUACAGAAAGUAUGUCCACUAAGUGGACAUGUUCUAAAAAAGAUUAUACAUGUAUGUACAUUCAUCAAAGGAAGGUAAUGGGGUAAAUUAGAUAUAUAUGAUGCCCUACACUAGUGUUGUGUAGAUGGUCAAUGUCUAUGAUACUGAGAAAGUUUCUAGCCACUCGAUGUGAGAGAUACAUAGGAAAGACACCAUUCCCAGUUGUUAAUGUCAGCAGGUUUUGCCAUUUUAUCACCAAAUAGCAUAGUAAUGUGCAAAAUAUGAAUCAUUUUCAUUUUUGGAUGGCAUUUUGAAUGAAGGCUAACAAUGCCAAAGAUCCUCUAGGUUAAGUUAUACAUAUUUGGAAAUUUACAUUAAUUUAUUUUUAUUGCAAAUUUUGUUAAUUUUCUAUUUAGUUGUUUGGAACGAAAUGGAGCAUCUGUUUUUAGCAAGAACAGAUGGUAAAUCUUGGUUUCAAAUUUGUGUUUUUUGUUUGUGUGUGCAAUGCAGAAGAUAAGUUUUAUGUAGAUUAAUUAGUGAUGUCUAUAGUACAAUAAUAUAAUUAAUUGAAUUGCUGGGUUCUGUUGGAAUGUGUUUUUCUGAAAGUCAAUGAGGAUGUGUAUCAUUGACUAUUCGGGUGAUAAUUAUUAGAAAAAAUGUUUUUUUGACUAUUUUAUUGUGUAUCCACCACCUUUCGGUAUUUUAAGAAUGCGUAAUCCUUUUAACUAAUGGAGAAAUAUAUGGCUCUGUGAAGAAAUUUGACAUCUGUAUUAACAUGGGUCCUGUCCAGCAAUCAGACAACUACUGUCAGUAAUCCAUGAUUUGACCAAAAGUAAAAUAAACCCAGAAAAAUAAAUUAAUAUCAAGGUCACUUUAAUAUGCAUUUUGAAAAUAACAUGAUUACUAGGGUCUGCAGGGUAUUUAUAUAUCCCUUGUUUAAAGGGUUUUUGUAAUGUUGAUCACAUCUACUAGUUUCUCCAUUAAAAUUGUUCUCGAUUGUAGCAUUGUGCUGAAGUCUGCUGACAAAUAGCAUUGAGAAUCGAUGUCAACUAUUGUAUCUAUAAAUAGGAGUGAGGCAUUACACAGCGACAUAAGGAAAUACAGAAGCAUGGUAACAGGCUGACAACAGUUAAGGACCUAGGGGAAACGCUUGAAAUGAUGCUUGCUAUUAUCAUAUGUUGUGAAUUUGUAUUGGAUGAUUUGUACUUAGUUGGGAAUUUUCAAGAUAUUUGUAUGUACAAGGCAACUACUUCAGAUCUGCAGGAAAUUAUAUUCCUUUAACAAAAUUUUGAAUUGUAUAUAUAUUUUAUGCAAUUAUUUGUUUAUAUUUAAAUGGAAUAACUAAAUUAAUUAUUGUAUUAUUAAUGUUUGUGUAAACAACUGUUUGGCAGUGCUAGAUAGACCGGUUAUUUUUGGAUCCCCGUACCACUGUCAAAAACUGUAUCUACACAUAGGAAACUGUCUAGCAUAUGACUACAGCUGGGAUAAAGCAUUUCUGAAAAGGAAAUAAUAAUAUUCAUGAAAUAAGCAAAAUGUCAUUAACAAUAGAGUUCUGAGUGUAGAAAGUUAAGUGGGACUGGACCAGGAUCAACAAUAGAGUUCUGAGUGUAGAAAGUUAAGUGGGACUGGACCAGGAUUAACAAUAGAGUUCUGAGUGAUGAAAGUUAAGUGGGACUGGACCAGGAUUAACAAUAGAGUUCUGAGUGUAGAAAGUUAAGUGGGACUGGACUAGGAUUAACAAUAGAGUUCUGAGAGUAGAAAGUUAAGUGGGACUGGACCAGGAUCAACAAUAGAGUUCUGAGUGUAGAAAGUUAAGUGGAACUGGACCAGGAUCAACAAUAGAGUUCUGAGUGUAGAAAGUUAAGUGGGACUGGACUAGGAUUAACAAUAGAGUUCUGAGAGUAGAAAGUUAAGUGGGACUGGACCAGGAUCAACAAUCGAGUUCUGAGUGUAGAAAGUUAAGUGGGACUAGACCAGGAUCAACAAUAGAGUUCUGAGUGUAGAAAGUUAAGUGGAACUGGACAAGGAUCAACAAUAGAGUUCUGAGUGUAGAAAGUUAAGUGGAACUGGACCAGGAUCAACAAUAGAGUUCUGAGUGUAGAAAGUUAAGUGAGACUAGACCAGGAUUAACAAUAGAGUUCUGAGUGUAGAAAGUUAAGUGGGACUGGACCAGGAUUAACUGUGAGUUACUUCAGGUUGUUACUAUUGCUCUAACCUACUGAGAUACCCAGUCAACGAAAGUGUCCUGGCUCAAAUGUUUACAUGCCUAAAUGAAAUUAAGGGGAGGUUACUGUAGUUACCACAGUGCAUUGGGACAGGGAUUCUUAAGGGGAGGUUACUGUAG
rnacentral:misc_RNA from 1 species